CAUUUUGGUGCCCUAGGCACAGUG
rnacentral:rRNA from 1 species